GCUUUCGUGGUGUAAUGGUUAGCACACUUGACGCUAUUCGAGAGAUCCAGGUUCGAGUCCCGGCGAGGGCG
rnacentral:tRNA from 1 species